rfam:Salmo salar isolate Sally breed double haploid chromosome ssa22, whole genome shotgun sequence.
UGGCUCAGUUGGUAGAGCAUGGUGUUUGCAACGCCAGCAUGGUGUUUGCAACGCCAGGGUUGUGGGUUCGAUUCCCAU